UUUGACAUGCUUAAAGUAGAAACUCGAAAGAGGCGACCUGUAUCCAGUCAGGAGUUUGCACAGGUGCUGCAUGGCUGUCGUCAGCUCGUGCCGUGAGGUGUUAGGUUAAGUCCUGCAACGAGCGCAACCCUCGUCGCUAGUUGUUUUCUCUAGCGAUACUGCCCGUAUAACGUGGAGGAAGGUGGGGAUGACGUCAAGUCAGCAUGGCCCUUACAUCCUGGGCUACACACACGCUACAAUGGGUGAUACAACAGGUUGCGAUAGAGUAAUCUGGAGCCAAUCCCUAAAAUCAUCCUCAGUACGGAUUGCAGGCUGCAACUGCCUGCAUGAAGUUGGAGUUGCUAGUAAACGCAGGUCAGCACACUGCGUUGAAUACGUUCUCGGGCCUU
rnacentral:rRNA from 1 species